UCCCCCGCCACCCUGUCGCCGGCCCCGUCGCUCCCUGCUGCAGGCGCCGCCGCCGCCGCCAUGUCCAAGUCGGGAGCCCUGGAUCUCGCGUCGGGCCUUGGCGGGAAGAUCGACAAGGAACAAGUCAAAUCCGCGGUCGACGAUGGUGUAGAUACGGACGUGGAGUAUGUGAGCGCGAGCACACAGGCGCCCGGAAUCUACCCCGUCGAGGACAGCCUUGUGAUUCGGAUUAUUAAAAGCAGCUGACGGGACCGUGGCCCACAUGAAAAGAUAAACAUAUUCAUACGACUUGACCUGCGGGUCCAGAUUUUCACGGUCGGCUCAACGUCGACAACGGAGAGGAGCAGAUCCGUGGCUCGGGAUGUUACUGCCGUCCUGAUCCAUGGAUCAGGACGGAUGCUUUCCGGCAAACGCCGGCAACGCGCACAGUAACUGUAGUGCGCGGGGCGGUUACGGGGCUAUCUCCUACCUCCCGUUUGUGGAUCCUCCAUUGUACAAAGAUCUGAUUUUUUUCCUACUGGCUAAUUGUGCAAGAAGUAGAACUCUGCUAGAGGACGUUCGCCGGGAUGGAGCCUCUUCAUUAACCGGCGACGACGCCGCCGGUGUGCGAGUUGCCGGCCAGGACAGCAUCAAGUGCAGACGGGCAGGUCUGCACAAAGGGCGUUGGUCGAGAAGCAGGAAGUGCAGACAAGGGCCAAGCUUCAGAGCAGUCGAUUGAGCAGGUGGAUCCGAAAACACCUGGGUGGACGCAAAGAGUGCGUGUUGGGGCUGCCGCACUAGGCAGAGCCCCAGGCCCUGAUAGGAUUUCACCACUGGAGAGAGCAAUUCGGUGUUUUGCAGAGGAGCCUGGCGAGAUUGUCAUUGUACCGAAGAUAGGCACGAGUUUUGACACUCUUGAUGAACUGCACACCUCAAUGCAACACUAAUGCAAAGAUUCUGCAUCUUGGUCGGCUGCUCGCGGCGGGGCUUGUGUCUGGUGCUUGCGACAGUGGCAGAGCAGUCUCGCGAGCGUGGUGCAAGUAGUGGCCCCUGCUAUGUGGGCUGAUGCAAGCGCGGCGCAAGCACUUCAAGUCUGACAAUGUCCACUCUACAAGGUACAUAGGCACUCGUGCAAAGAUCUAACAUCUUCAUCGACUAGUACUAAGAUUUGCUUAAGAUCACGUAAGCUUGGGUUGAUGGAGUGCUUGUAUUUA